GCAGCGGCUUCCGUCGGGGCAGCGGCGCGCGGGGAGCGGUCGUGAAAUGGCGGUUGGCCCCCUCUUUCCCUCCCUCCUUCUUUCCCCUCAAGACCGAGGAAGUGGUCUCUGAUUCUCCACAAAGAGAAAAGGAAAAACAUCUGUCAGUUUGGUAAUGUUUUAGGGAGGUGCUGUUGUUUCAAAAGGCUGUUGGGACCCUAAGACUUCCUGCAGGUUCUCACAUCUUGGCAUACUGUCCUCGUGACUUAUCCUGCAGCCAACUUUGUAUUUCAUCAAGGUAGUAAACAAAACCUGAAGGGCAAAACAUUGUCUCGAAUCUCCUCCCGUCUUCCUGAUACUCAAGCAAAGAAGCUGUCUUCUGGUUGUGAUAAUGUGAUGAUCCUCUAGCUUAAGGCUUAUCAAUAGAAAAGAUAUGUUCCUGGAUUGCUUGUGUACUAAGAAACAAAACACGUUAUGUAUUAUAUUCACACUGAAAGCACACCAAUUCAUACAAUAGAUAGAUAUAUUUAACAUGUGUCUUUUGGGCAGAUCAUUAAUUACAGCAGGACACUUUAGAUUUCGUAUGAAAGUUGAUUUUAAAGUACAGAACUAUGAAAAGAAACUUUAACUGCUAUUUCUGCUUUGGAAGCUUAAACUGGAUGAACUAACUCAAAAAAAAAAAAAAAAAAUAGUGUGGCUAAAGCAUUUAACAAUGGAAAGUUAUACCUCAUUCUGCAAUGAUUGGUUUUCCCAGCCAAAAUGGAGUUUAAAGCAGAAACUGUAACAGAUCCUGCACUAGCAAAGGUAGCAGCCAGUGCUUAGGUAUUAAGGCAAGUCCAGUACAGAGCCAAAGUUAAAAAUAAAUAUAUAGUUGAGAAGAUCAAGGUAGUUUACAGUUGAACAUACCAUGUUUCUUCCUUUCUUGUCCGUAAUAAGUACACAGAAGGCAGUUCAACCAUGUAGUUAGGCUAUGGAAAGAACAAAGCUGUUGUACAGAGUGGGAUUUCUUUUUCUGACCACUGGGGGAGUAAAUUCGUCAUUGGGCAUGUUGUAGUCGUUACACUGAAACGGUUCGUUAAACGAGUGUGAAGCUCCAGUAGCGCUUAGGCUGUGCUACUGCAGAGCAGUGCUGGUGCUGCAUGGUUAUCUGUGCGGAAGGAUUCUUUUCACUUUGCAGGACACCUGACUUAUACUUUUGUUCUGGUCAGCCUCGAGGGACUGUGUAUGCCAUUUAGUAACUAUUGCUACGUGGUGUUUUUAUACAUACAUACAGCAGAAGGCUGUAUACCAUGUUCAAUUUCAUAGUUACCUGUCAGUAAACAUUCACACUUGUGUCAUGUACCUUUCUUGUUUCAGUGAGAAUCUUAAGCUAGAACAUGUAUUUACAGUGUUCUUCAGACCAAGGCAUAUGGCACCAUUUCUGUUUUACAUAAUAAAUGGAGAAUGGUUAGGGCAGAGUCGCUCCUAGAACCUAGAAGAAAGACAAAACUGUAAUUACCCUCGCCCUAUUUACCACAUGGCUACAAUAUGUCAAUUGCAAUUAUAUUAUGGAUUAUGUGCCAUUAACUGGUUUCUGUUCAGAUUUCCAUGCUAUUUAGGGCAUGCUCUGUCAUGAAUCUUUAGAAACCAUCUUUUUGUGUUGACUCUUUUGUUUGGCACACUGCCACCUAGCUGCUGCCUUCCAUCAACGGUUCUGAAGUUAUGCUAGAAGCAAGAUGGCACUUUUGACAAGUGAAGCUUACCUGAAAUAUUCUUCAGUAGAGAAACUGCUGAUGGGAAGAAGGGACAAAAAUAGAAAAACAGAAUUAUUAUUACAAUUUGUACUGUGACAGUUGACUCAGUAUAAUUUUGAAGCAAGUUGUGAUGUGCUGACAUUAUUUUCACUCUGAAAAAAAAAAUUGAUUGCAAAACACACACAGAAAGUGAAAAAGUCAUGUUUUUCCAGGCACAUUUUAAUAGGUAGUGAUUCGGGAAAAUAAAUGAGGAAGAAAUGUAAAUACAUAGGAGGCAGAUUUACUGAAUAUUUAUUUGGAGAGAACGAAAGCUGAUCAUUACAGUAACACUCAGUAUAGGAAAUAAAAUCCACGUGUUAGAAUGAAGAUGUGGAAAUAAGCUUUAUAAAGAAACUAUUACUUUGAGUUGAGGUGGAUGUGACAUCAUUUAGGGAAUUAAAGCCAGGCUGCAAAAGCAUUAAGUGGAUAUUUCACCAAAAUUGGAAAGAUGUGUUUUAAAUAACACUUUCAACGACACUUUUAAACUCUAGCAGUAAUUGUUCUGCUACCGUAUCUUUAUAUAUCUGUAUAUCAUAUAAGGCCACAAGGUGAGAACACGUAUGCUGUGCAUAAAUGUACAUGAAGAAUGCUAAGAUAAUACAGGAGGAGUAAUAUCUCCUAUUAGUACAACUAAUAUUUGAAAACAUCAGCUCUCUUUUUGGCUCAUCAGUCCUUUUUUCUCAAACUGUCCAUUCAAAGUUUGCCUUACUAUAGCCCUAGAGAAUCACCAUCAGACAUGAUAUUUUUUUAAGAACCACGAGGCAUGAACAGUAUGGCACCGAGGCAAGUCAAAUUGCCUAUGUCCUUCCUCUAUCUAUAUUUACAUGGUUUUCUGAACCAUGCCUUCUGAUAGUAAGUCAUUGCAACAGGUCUAUGAGUGAGAUGGUCUGUCAUGGUUUCCCAUGCAUUUGUCUGUUUUUACAUGCGCAGGAAAGCAUAUGGUAGAUUUGAACCCCAAAUAACAAAUGGUAUCAAAUUUUGCUCAAAAAAAGUCUGAAAAAAAUAUGAAAAAACAUGACAUUGGAAAGAUACAUUGUGAUGGAUGAUUCGCUGUGACCCUUUUCUCAAUUGCACAGUUUCUGGACUCUUUAUCACUGCACUAGAGUAACCAGUAGCCAGUCAUUCAGUUUAACAGCAAAUAUUGAAGCCAAACACUAAGUAAUUUGCAUUAUAGUACAAUAGUGAGUCCAGAAAGUGCCAUAUCCAGUGGUGUUUGUCAGUGGGACUUGGAGGAAGCUCUGCAAAGUAUUGCUCACUUAAUGCAACAAAAGUUCCAUAUUUCAAUUGAACGUCAAUACAUCCACAUCUAUGAGGAAGUUAACUCCAGUUCAUAAAGAGUUGCAGAGUUUUUUCCCUAACAUUUUUAAAACAUAAAACCCUUGAAUAUGUGGGUGUGUGGAGAUAUAUGAUGUAUUUCUGUGUCCGGUACGUGCUGUGGAGAUCUGCAUUCUUUUUUGGGUAAAGAUGAGAGUUGAUACAUACCAUGUGCAUGCAUAGAGUCAUUUCUUAAUUUAGCAACUCAUACAGAAAGUCUGUCCAAUUCCUUUCAUCUUUCCUUCUUUCACUGUGUCUGUGUGGCAAACACCCUGGGGUUCCUGUGGUUUUUGAAGUGUAUUUGCAUGAUACUGUAUAAAGAGCGAAUACAUUGUUUUGCAGUUGUUCGAAGGAGGUCACAAUAAUAGAUUUUUUUCUUCUUUUUCAUUUUUUCCCUUUCUUUUUCCUUUCUUUUCUUUUUCUUUUCUUUUUUUUUCUUUUUUCUUUCUUUUUUUUCCCUCUUCAUUGGUAGUUGUAAUAGUUUUGGUAAUUUGGGGGUCAGCAGUUGUACAAAAGGAAGAAAUGUAUCUAAGAAGCACCUAAUUGUGACAAAUUAACAAGAGACUUUAGAUGUGGUCUAAUAUUUUGUGUUCCUGGAAAUCCCUCUCCAAAAGGAGGAGUUACAUAGUUUUUAUUUUUGUCUGAGUAUUUGGCUCCUGAGCUGUAAGCACAG
ensembl:lncRNA